UUUGUCCUACGGGGGGCAGCAGUGGGGGAUAUUGCACAAUGGGGGCAACCCUGAUGCAGCGACGCCGCGUGAGCGAUGGAGUACUUCGGUAUGUAAAGCUCUGUCAGCAGGGAAGAGAAUGACGGUACCUGACCAAGAAGCCCCGGCUAAAUACGUGCCAGCAGCCGCGGUAAUACGUAUGGGGCAAGCGUUAUCCGGAUUUAUUGGGUUUAAAGGGUGCGCAGGCGGAGGCACAAGUCAGCGGUAAAAUCGCGGGGCUCAACCCCGCUCCGCCGUUGAAACUGUGUCCCUUGAGUGCGCGAAGG
rnacentral:rRNA from 1 species